ACGAAAGUACAUCAGUCACGCAUGAUGGAGGUUAAUAGUCUCAUUUAGCUACUUGUUGCAUAAAGGCUUCAAAAUUUAAGAGUGGGAUAUUUACAGAUGUAUUUUAUAUCGUAGAACAAAACGUUAGCAUCUCUCAAUCUUGUGUUGACCACAGACCUUAUUUCAGGCAUCUAACUAAAAACCCAUUUAAAAAAAACAUCGACUUCCAGACGAAGGAACCGGAAGUGCUAAAAUGCUAACUCAUUUCUGGGUUUUAGGACUCAUUCCUGUAGCACUCUAUUGUAUUUAGAGCUGUCUGGUUGCCAGAAACAUAACUUCAAAUGAAUGCUAAUGUUGCUCCAUGUCUUUUUGAUGCGCAGGUAGUCUAUUGUUUGCUAUUAUAUUUGGCAUAGCAACUUUAUAUAAAGCCAUAAUGUGUGAAACGUGUGGCCUGUUCAGCUUGUUAUGCCCCCAAGUGGCCAAAACAAGAACCUGAUUUUGCAGCUUUGAUCUGAUGAAAGUUGACAAUGUACAGCUGAGUCUGAUAAGCUGUGUGGAGUUAAACCCUUUUGAUUUACGUUACAACGUGGCUGCGCUGGUGGUUAAGGAUUUAACGAUGGCAAAGUGGUCUCUCCAUUUUUAAACCAUACUACAAAUGUGUUUCCUGGCAUAUAAUGACUAUUGCACCUCACACGGUUGCUAGCGUGGCUGAAGACCUUCAGCCUACUUGUUUUAUUGUUCGAAGUGGAGAGAUAUGACUGAUGUUAUUGGUUGUUUUGAAUGUUCCCAAAUCAAUCCUGUCCGUUUAUUAUUUGUUAAAUCUUGACAGAUAUAGAAUAGUAUUUAUAUAAACUAAAUUUAUCAAGACAAUUUUCACUGUAAAUGACUCCUAAAUGUGUAUUAAGGUCUGUUUAUAAGGUAAUUACUUUCUGCAAGCUUUUAUUUUGAAAGUCACCUUUUUACAUUACGUGACUUUUAUUUUGACGCCACCUCCUGGCGGAAGAAGGAUAGUGCUACGGAGAUUUUCUGAAGGAGGGAAAGCACGCAAUUGCGCUGCUUUAUGUCAUCAUAAACUGAUAAUUAAGCGCCUAGCCAGUACGGGAACAAGGUAUUGUGUGUUGAAUAUGUUUUAUGAUUAUAUGCAGUAACAUUUUGUGAUUUAGGUGGACGCACUUACAGUGUGUGUGUUUAAUUGUGUUGUCAUUCUGACGGUCUUGCUAACAUUAGCUUUUCAUGGAGAUUGCUGUAAUGCUAGCUUUCUAGCUUUUCAUGUGCAAAUGUUGGGCUUAAGGUUUGAUUGGUGUUAAUGUGUAUGGCAAAUACAGUAUAUGGAUAAGGUUUGUAAUGUUUACAUUUUUAGUAAGAGCUCAUUGUAUUUUAUUUGUCUGUCCUUUAGCUCUUACGGUGUUUUCUGAAGAAAGGUGUUUAAAGAAGAAAAGGUGAAUUUGUGUUCAAAAUAUGGCUAACGGCUGAACAUAAAUAAAAGGCUUCUGAAACAUCA